GAUAACCCCGGGAAACUGGGGAUAAUACCUGAUAGGUGGAGAGGUCUGGAAUGCCUCUCCGCCGAAAGCUCCGGCGCCUGAGGAUGAGCCUGCGCCCGAUUAGGUUGUUGGCGGUGUAACGGACCACCAAGCCUUAGAUCGGUACGGGCACUGAGAGGUGGAGCCCGGAGAUGGGGGCUGAGACACGGCCCCAGGCCCUACGGGGCGCAGCAGGCGCGAAAACUCCGCAAUACGCGCAAGCGUGACGGGGGAACCCCAAGUGCCUCAUCUUUUUGGUGAGGCUUUUUCAGAGUGUAAACAGCUCUGAGAAUAAAAGCGGGGUAAGACCGGUGCCAGCCGCCGCGGUAACACCGGCCGCUCAAGUGGUGACCGCUAUUAUUGGGCCUAAAGCGUCCGUAGCCGGUUCGGUAAGUCCCUGGGUAAAUCCUGCCGUUUAACGGUAGGAAUUCUGGGGAUACUGCCGGACUCGGGGUCGAGAGAAGUCGGAGGUACUCCGGGGGUAGCGGUGAAAUGCUGUAAUCCUCGGGGGACCACCAGUGGCGAAGGCGUCCGACUAGAGC
rnacentral:rRNA from 1 species